UACGUAGGGUGCAAGCGUUGUCCGGAAUUACUGGGCGUAAAGAGCUCGUAGGUGGUUUGUCGCGUUGUUCGUGAAAACUCACAGCUCAACUGUGGGCGUGCGGGCGAGACGGGCAGACUGGAGUACUGCAGGGGAGACUGGAAUUCCUGGUGUAGCGGUGGAAUGCGCAGAUAUCAGGAGGAACACCGGUGGCGAAGGCGGCAUCCUGGACCGACACUGACACUGAGGAGCGAAAGCCAGGGGAGCAAACGGG
rnacentral:rRNA from 1 species